rnacentral:rRNA from 1 species
UACGUAGGGUCCGAGCGUUGUCCGGAAUUACUGGGCGUAAAGAGCUCGUAGGUGGUUUGUCGCGUUGUCCGUGAAAACUCACAGCUCAACUGUGGGCGUGCGGGCGAUACGGGCAGACUGGAGUACUGCAGGGGAGACUGGAAUUCCUGGUGUAGCGGUGAAAUGCGUAGAUAUCAGGAGGAACACCGGUGGUGUAGACGGCUUUCUGGGCCUUACCUGACGCUGAGGAGCGAAAGCUGGGGGAGCAAACAGG